UGAGGAAUAUUGGUCAAUGGGCGGGAGCCUGAACCAGCCAAGCCGCGUGAGGGAGGAAGGCCCUAUGGGUCGUAAACCUCUUUUGUCAGGGAACAAAAGCGAGUAUGUAUACUAGUCUGAGUGUACCUGAAGAAAAAGCAUCGGCUAACUCCGUGCCAGCAGCCGCGGUAACACGGGGGAUGCGAGCGUUAUCCGGAUUUAUUGGGUUUAAAGGGCGCGUAGGCGGGAUGCCAAGUCAGCGGUAAAAGACUGCAGCUAAACUGUAGCACGCCGUUGAAACUGGUGACCUAGAGAGAAGUCGAGGGAGGCGGAACAAGUGAAGUAGCGGUGAAAUGCUUAGAUAUCACUUGGAACCCGAUAGCGAAGGCAGCUUCCCAGUCUUUGUCUGACGCUGAUGCGCGAGAGCGUGGGUAGCGAACAGGAUUAGAUACC
rnacentral:rRNA from 1 species